rnacentral:lncRNA from 10 species
CGGGGAUAUGGCAAAUGUCUAACUUUUUAAGAAAUGCAUGAUCUGUUUUCCAAAAUGAUGGUAUAAUUUUACAUUCCUAUCAACAUUGUAGGAAAGUUCUAGCUCCCACACAUCCCUGUCCACAUCUGGCAUGAGCAGUCUUUUUUUUCUUUAUUCAUUCUAUUCCUAUUCUUCUUUUGUUUUGUUUGAGACAGAAUCUGGCUUUGUCACCCAGGCUGGAGUGCAGUGGCUCAACCUCUGCUCACUGCAACCUAUGCUUCCCGGGUUGAAGCAAUGCUCCUACCUCAGCCUCCUGAGUAGCUGGGACUACAGGCUCGUGCCACCACGCCCGGCUAUCUGUACUUAUUCUAAUAGUGAAAAAAGCCCUCCCUGGAAGCUGCUACCAUGCCCUUGAGCGUCCCAGCCUCCAGAACCACAGGCCAAAGAAAAAGCGAUGGAAGUAAGGGAGAGGAACCAGAAGCAAUUUCAGGAUAAAGAAAUGAAGAUGCUAAAUCCAAUCCAAUUAAUUCCUUGAAGAAGUAAUGUCAAACAUCAAUCCAAGUUCAAUCCCAAGACUCAGAAGUAGUUGAUUUUAAAUAAAGCACUGCUAAAGAUGUUUAAGAGCAUAAAGUUUUAUGAUUUUGAAAGUAAUUUUCUCUGACAGUAUUUGAAUUUUACUAAAAAUGAAAACCAAAUGUGACUAUUUCUAAUAUGACAAAAAUAUAUGGAUUUGUACAGUUGCUCAGAAUAGAAUAUGCCAUUUGUUUGUAAAAUGAAUACGAAAUUAUAAGCCUGCUUUCCAGUAAAUGUAGGUUAUGCUCCAAAACCACUUCAAAAUGGGCUAAGCCUUCAGGAUUCCACUUCAAAAAAAUCAUAUAAUUAAUGGAGAAAUUAUUUUACUGUAUUAGGAGAACAGGAAGCUAACGUUUUAAUACCAAUAUGUUUUUAUUAGUAAAGAAGGUAUUUAUUCAAAAGAGAGAGACAACUAUGACAUAAUGUCCCCAAUUUUAUUAUUUUUGAAUUCAGAAAAAAUGCUUACCAUUAAAAUUUAAUUAAUAAGUACACAUAUGUCUAUUUGCUUUCAUCAUUACUCAAGUAUUAAAUGUGAAAUUGAAUAAAACAUUUCCUACAUUUUAUUUAAGAAACCCGAAAUUUUAGUAGAAAUGUAAAAAUGUAAAUAGCUUUCAGGUAAAAAGCAUUUGUAUUAGUAUUUCAGAAACAUAGCUUUAAAGUUGAAAGCUUAACAUCUGUUUAAUUUAUAACUACAAAUAAAAUAAAUGCAGUAUAAAAAUCAUAAUGUUUGGUGCUGAUCUUAACUAAAUAUUGACUUCAAACAUGAGUUAUGUUAAAAUAUGAACAUACUGAAAACUUUGUUAUUACAUGCUAAUUUUUCUCCAGUAAAGCAAAAACGUUGUAUUAACCUAUUUUGAGAUAAUUGUAGAUUUACAUGCCGUUUUUAGAAAUAAGAAAGAUAUUUAUUUUAACAAAAUGUUAACAUCUUGUAGUAUGAUAGUGCAAUAUGAUGAGGAUACUGACAUCAGCUGAGGGACAAAGCAUUCCUGUCACCACGAGAACUUCCCAGCUUGUUCUUUUAAAAGAACAUCCAUUUCCCUCCUACUCAUCUCUCUCCAUCCCCCAUUUUUUCAUUCCAGUAACCGCUUAUCUAUUCUCCAUUUUUAUAAUUUUGCCAUUUCUAGGCUGCUAUGUAAAUAGCUUUAUACAGUGUGUAACUUCUUGAGACUGGCUUUUUCACAAAAGAUACUUCUCUGGAAAGUAAUCCCAGUUGUUGUGAGCUUCAGUAGCUCCCGCUGUAUUCACAGGCUGUCCACAUAAUGAUUAACCAUUUCACUGUAGAAGAACAUCUGGGCUGUUUAUAGAGUGGGCUAUCAUGGGUAAAGCUGCUACAAAAAUGUAUGUACAGAUUUUCAUUUCUCUGAAAUAAAUGCUCCAAUGUGC